rnacentral:rRNA from 1 species
AUGAGGGUAGACCUUGAACACCUCGGCGUGGAAAGACAUGGUCUUUUGGCUGGUUUCUAUUGUCAUGUUCCUGUUGAAACUGUAGAUGCUGUCCACUUUGGUAUUCAAACUACGAGGAACCAAGAACUUAAGAUGUAUGGAUAUCAGGUUGAUAAUGUAUCAGGGCGAUUACAAAAUGAUCUAACUGAUGGCUAUCUGACUCAUGUAGAGGAACAAUAUCAAGAGUUCAGACAUGAUUGUACACCUUCAUUUUUUUCUCGAAGAGGAUCACCUGUUUUCAAUGAGCAAAGGCAACUCGUCGGUAUAUCUUUUAAGGAUAUUGGUGUAACUAAAGCCUUGGAUAUUGGGUAUAUAACUGCCAUUCUUCCAAGAUUUUGUGGAGGAGACGAUAACAUGCCUAUGUCAGAUGUCUUAGAACGUAUUAGACUUCUUGGAGAGCAAAAAUUUGCUAUGCCUGAGGAUCUGGAGCCUUCUCCUUCUCCCUGA